AACAAGGGCCUUUUUGGAAACCUCACUCAUAUAUAAACAAACCUCAAAGCUCAACAACACUCACCAAAACAACACAACACAUAGCAUUUAUCAAACAUAGGAUCCAAUCUAAGAGAAACACUUCUCUCUUAUAUUCUUGUUCUCUUCACUCAGGCAAAGAAAAACAUACCCUAUUAAGAUAUGGCAGGUGCAAGAGCUAGUGGAAUGAUGAAUGAAAAUUUCACAAGAAGAUGUUCAGGGCGUCCAAUUCCAAAGAGGGGACAAGUUAAGGUUGGAAUAGUGGUGGGGCUAGCCAACUCUGUGGCUUCAAUCUUCUCUCGUAGUAGAGUUAGAUAGUUUCAUUAGUUUCACAACUUAGUUUGAGGGUGUGGUGUAGUUGGCUAAGAAAGUUUUUGAUCAGUUUUAGUUUGUACAAAUUGGGUUUUGUUUAUUUUCAUUCCUUUCUUUUUCUGUUCGUGUAAAUGAUCUUGUUUCCUUGAUAAUGAAUCUAGUCUUUUGCUAUUAUUUACUUUCUACCCAGUUCAAG
rnacentral:lncRNA from 1 species